GACGAACGCUGGCGGCGUGCUUAACACACGCAAGUCGAACGGAAAGGCCCUCACCUUGGUGGGGGUGCUCGAGUGGCGAACGGGUGAGUAACACGUGGGUGAUCUGCCCUGUACUUCGGGAUAAGCUUGGGAAACUGGGUCUAAUACCGGAUAGGACCAUGGUUUAGUGUCUCAUGGUGGAAAAAUUAUUGUUUUGGUGCAGGAUGAGCUCGCGGCCUAUCAGCUUGUUGGUGGGGUAAUGGCCUACCAAGGCGUCGACGGGUAGCCGGCCUGAGAGGGUGGACGGCCACAUUGGGACUGAGAUACGGCCCAGACUCCUACGGGAGGCAGCAGUGGGGAAUAUUGCACAAUGGGCGCAAGCCUGAUGCAGCGACGCCGCGUGGGGGAUGACGGCCUUCGGGUUGUAAACUCCUUUCGUUAGGGACGAAGCCACACUUUUUUUGGGUGUGGUGACGGUACCUUUGUUAAGAAGCACCGGCUAACUACGUGCCAGCAGCCGCGGUAAUACGUAGGGUGCGAGCGUUGUCCGGAAUUACUGGGCGUAAAGAGCUCGUAGGUGGUUUGUUGCGUCGUCUGUGAAAUUCCGGGGCUUAACUUCGGGGUGGCAGGCGAUACGGGCAUAACUAGAGUGCUGUAGGGGAGACUGGAAUUCCUGGUGUAGCGGUGGAAUGCGCAGAUAUCAGGAGGAACACCGAUGGCGAAGGCAGGUCUCUGGGCAGUAACUGACGCUGAGGAGCGAAAGCAUGGGGAGCGAACAGGAUUAGAUACCCUGGUAGUCCAUGCUGUAAACGGUGGGCGUUAGGUGUGGGGACCGGUUUGGUUUCUGUGCCGUAGCUAACGCAUUAAGCGCCCCGCCUGGGGAGUACGGCCGCAAGGCUAAAACUCAAAGGAAUUGACGGGGGCCCGCACAAGCGGCGGAGCAUGUGGAUUAAUUCGAUGCAACGCGAAGAACCUUACCUGGGUUUGACAUGCACCAGACGGUUGUAGAGAUACGUACCUCCCUUUGUGGUUGGUGUGCAGGUGGUGCAUGGUUGUCGUCAGCUCGUGUCGUGAGAUGUUGGGUUAAGUCCCGCAACGAGCGCAACCCUUGUCUUAUGUUGCCAGCACGUUUGGGUGGGGACUCAUGAGAGACUGCCGGGGUUAACUCGGAGGAAGGUGGGGAUGACGUCAAAUCAUCAUGCCCUUUAUGCCCAGGGCUUCACACAUGCUACAAUGGUUAGUACAACGCGCGGCGAGCCUGUGAGGGUGAGCGAAUCGCUGAAAGCUAAUCUCAGUUCGGAUUGGGGUCUGCAACUCGACCCCAUGAAGUCGGAGUCGCUAGUAAUCGCAGAUCAGCAAUGCUGCGGUGAAUACGUUCCCGGGCCU
rnacentral:rRNA from 1 species